UUUCCGUAGGUGAACCUGCGGAAGGAUCAUUAUUGUAUAACGGAGGUCUGAGGGCUGUCUCUCACCCGUAUGGUUGUUCACGCCCGAUUGCUCUCACACACCUCCAUCACGCCCCUAUGUGCACCACCGCGUGGGUCCCCCUUUGCCUUGUUCGGCGGGGGGCUUCCGUUUUCACUCAAACUGUGUCUUCAGUUUUGUAUGUAUUUUUUGUUUUUUUAAUCACACACUCUAUACAACUUUCAACAACGGAUCGCUUGCCACUCGAAUCGAUGAAGAACG
rnacentral:misc_RNA from 1 species